CAUGUGCGUGCACAGACGUACGAACAUACAGACACACACAUAUGCCCAUGCACCACGCUAGCAUCACAAAGCCUGGUAUCAAAAUGGCAGCCCUGACUGAUAGAACUAUUGCCUAAUCUUUCUGCAUCUCAUCCUCCUAAAUUUUACAAUAAUUGUGAACUGGUCUCUAAAGCUUUUCCUAGCCCUACCUGGAAAUGGCACACAGCUCACGGCUCCCACCCUGCCUCCCACUGCCAGGCCCUCUUCCCCACCCUCACGCCGAGGAGGGCGGCCCCAGCCCCGCGGGUCCUGCUCGGCAUGGCCUGUCUCCGUGGCUUUGCUCACGGGAUGCACAGGGGGCUCCUCCUUCCCUCAGGGCCUGGCCCCUCUUCGCCCCCCUAGAAUCGUGCCCCCGCAGGUGCUGGGUGCUGGCCUGACACGUGGUGUUCAUGGUGACCUGGAGGCUGAGACGCCCAAUUUCUGCUCCCUUCAGGGCCGAACUGCUUGAUUUGGGGGACAGUCCGCAGAAACUGGCUGGGGUGCAUACAAGGGUACUCGCCAAUUACAAAGGUGGAAUCACAGUGGACAUACGUCAUCUCUGCAUCCUUUCCCAGGAGAUCGACCAUGAAGGCUGUAGCUGAACCUCACUCGCCACUCUCUGGGCUGAUUGCUCCCUACGUUUUUCUAGGAAGGAACAGGGAGAACCUUAGCUGUCUCUGCCUCAGGAAGUCAGAAGUUGUAACUGGCUUUAAAGAUGCUAAUGGAGCACGACUGGCUGAUUGAUGCCCAAGGCCCAGCGUCUCCGCCCCACGGGAGGAAAGUGGUCAGAACAUGUUCUCUCUGUGAAGCGUUCCAAUGUUUGUUCCCACUGAACUUGCCUCUGGCUGUUGGACACGUUCUCUGGAGCCUCCACCUCCCACGAGGAGGGGCCAGGCUUGGGGCUGCCUGGCCGCAGAGGAACUCGCUCAGCAGGACCUGCUGGGAUGGACGGGGAUGAAAGGACAGCAGAGCCUGGCUGGCGGCUGCCUCCCGUUGGCCUGAAAUGUCUCUCUCGCUGCACUUUGAAGAACCAGAGACCCAGGCAGAGUUGCUCUGAUUCUGGCCGCUACGAAGACAUGCAUGAAACAUCAAUCUUUAUCAGUGGCCUUUUGGAAAAGAUGUGGCAGAUGGUAGGACACAGCUUUGCCCUCAAGAAAAUACAGGGAAUCUGUCAAAGCUUAUGUUGAUCCAGUUCCAUUCCCCGCACUCACCCACCAGGACCUUCAUACUUAAGCCUCUCCCUCUAGAAGGAAAUUCAAGGACGCUGGCCUGGCCCGCCUUCCUCUCUGUGGCCAACGCCCCUGGUCCUGCAGCGUUCAUGCCUUCUGUUCUUCGGGAAUAUAGUCCCCAGAUAAUUUUGUCAGAUGUGAUAGGCUACGUACAGCCCCAAAGAUGUGCAGAUUCAAAUCCCUUAGAACCUGUGACUAUUCCCUGAUUUGGCAAAGAGACUUUGCAGGUGAGUGAAUUAAGGGUCUUGAGAUGGAGACUAUCCUGGAUUGUCCACAUGGACCCUAAAUGCCCCUGCAGUGUCCUUAAGGGGGAGGCAGAGGGAUGUUUGACGGCACGGAAGCAGAAGGGGGGGUGACCACUGGGCUGCUGGAUGCGGGGAGGGGGAGGGGCUGGAGCCCGGCAGCCCGAGAAGUUAGAAUAAGAAGGAGUGGGUUUCCCACAGUCCAGGAGGGAGGGCAUAGUUUUGGUCCAGUACCUCUGGUUGUAGACUUCCAACCUCCAGAACGACACAAGAUUGAAUACGCGUUGUCUGAAGCCGCCCAGUCCGUGGUCGUUUGUUACAGCAGCGCUGGGAGUUCAUACAGGGACCAAGUGUCGGCCAAGAGCAAAGGCGAUGGUUCUCAGCCCCUCUUGUAGCUCUUGGCCAUCGUGCUGGGUUCGGAUGGUGAGACACACCUGCAAGCGUGGUGCCAACCAUCCUGGAAAGUCUGCUUAAAGAAGGGGUCCGACUUCUCUGUUCUUCUUCCUGCCAACUAUGCUGACAUGUUCUCUGGACGCCAGCCGCCAUCUGGGACCAUGAGACAAAUUUGGGAAUGAAGUCUGCACACGGUGGGUCAGCAAGACGAGAUAAGCACGGCAGCAAACCUCCAGGUCUCAGGUAGGAGGAACAAAUCCUCAUUCGAGCCACACACCUUCUUAUCCAUCUCCUCCGAAGGGCCCUGUGGAUCGAUGUAUGCCUCUGUUUCUUGCCCUCUAAAACUUUUAGCAUAGCAGUAUCAUAAAUUUAUAAAUAGGAAGAAAAUCUGAUUAGAUUAAUUUACAAUAAGGUGUGGUUGACCAAGAAGUUUCUCGAAGUUUACAUUCGAAGAAUAAGCACGUUUUAAAUCAAAUGCCCCUCCCAGACUGUACAUUUCCCAUUUAGGAUAAAAUAGAAGGAGAAAAGAGCCAGGCUUCACCGCUGUGGACCCUCUCCAUCUUUGGAGUUUCCACAGUGGUUGAAAGUUUGGAGUUGCAGAUCAAUAUUUCUUUUUUCUUUUUUUCAAUGUUUGUAACUGCUACUUAUUUUCAUGUUCCCUCUUAUUUUCUUUUCUCUCACUCAUAGAAGACAGGAGUUUCUAUUUAGGUCUAUGUUGAAGCAUCCUAAUGUUGCUGUCAGCAUAAUAUUUUAUGGGAGCAAAUGCAGUGAUUUGACUGUCCUUCACUUGAGCAUCUUAAAAACAUAACAAUAGUAAGAUUCAUAAAGUCUAAGAUCAUUGAAUCGUAUUUUCCCUUCUGUUUAUGGAACAAAGCUUUCAAUUGAUUUUAUGAGUUAGUUCCCAAAUACUCUCUCUUUGUGAAGCAGUGGGGAUGGAGUUACAAUGCUGGUGUCCGCCCAGUGACCCAACACCUGUCCUUCUUGCCUAUAGUGAAAGAAGAUGAAAGCUGGCCCUUCGAUGCUGCUGCGAUGGAAAGUCUUUGGGAAAUGCAUCGACAGUAAAAGCAACAUUUAAUUAAGUACAGCUUAUCACUGUAUGUUGAAUAAAGCUCUUGAGAUGUUUGUGAAAA